ACAUGGAGAUCGUUUUAUCCCUGGCUCGUGUCGCCGUCAUCGUGACGUAGGCACGCGUCAUCGCAUGUGCCACGAGUUGUCCGAUCGACUGUUGUGUGAAAGGCUGUAUACAUAGACUGUUGUGUGCAUCUUCGAUCUGCAUUGCUAUUUGUUUGUGUGGUUUCAUUGUCCGCGUGUCCGGUAUUGCUCGCGUGAACGUCGUUCUGAAUAUGGGCUCUAACGGAGAUGAGAAAGCUUUCGAACAGAUCCUUCAAGAUAAUCUGAAAGAUUUCGCUGUCGGUAACGACGGGAAAUACUGUGGCUACUGUGAUUCGGAGGAAGAGAUCAAAAGACUACAGAAUAGUCUUAAGUGCAUAGGAUAUUCAUACUCGGUAAGGAGCAGCCACCAUCGCCAAAAAUUGCAUGAAGCCGCCACCAGUAACCCACGAAUCUUCUUCCAGCAAUUUCAGGGUAACGUUGAAAUCCCAUUUAUGGGAUAUCCGUUUUCGGUGGAAUAUUCCAGCUACCAACAAUGCACCCUGGGCCCCUAAUAUUACAGUAAAAAGGAGACUGUUGUUCCAAGUCACCUGGCUGACCAUGUUAACCCAGCAAAAAAGAGAUUGUUGAUUAUGGAUACGAAAAAGAGCGAUUGCCCUGCCACUUUUUCAAUUAAAUGUGUUAAAGUGUAUCCAGGCCAUUCUGUUCAAUCAGUAGAUGAUCGUGAAAUUAAAAAGAAAGUUGUCCAUAGUUUAAAACAGUCUUUGGAGGCAGCCAAUAAACCUGAAAGUGUUCUUCGCUUUUAUGUGAGGGUGUCACCACCAGAACACCAUACCCACAGCACAGAAAGCAUAAAAACAAGUGGAGACAUACAUCCCUUGCUAGCUGCGGAAAUAGCAAAAGUUGUUGAAGAUGGAACUACAUCUGUGAGAAUAAUAAAGUUACACCUUGAAAGAUUUGUGAACAUAACCUUCACUGGACCACACAAGCCAGAUAAUAUGAACACUACAUUUUACCUCACAAUAUAUAGUCAUGUGUACAGGGCCCUUAAGAAAUUGAAGAAAAGUGUUUGACCAAGAUGCUUUGCAAAUACAGAUUAAUGAGUGGUAGAAAGAAUAUAGAGGUGACAAUAUUUUUUUCAGGCCUUUUUCAGAUGUCGAUGGAGAAAUACAGCCAUUGCUGUUUUGUUACGAGAGUGCAUGGCAGAAGGAUAUGUUAAAAAAAUAUGGAGAUGUAUGUUUGCUUGAUGCCACCUACAAAACAACAAAAUAUGACAUUCCUUUAUUUUUUGUUACAGUAAAGGCAAACAGAUGCUGUUUAGUGGUAGGUUUUUUCUUUAUUCAGGUAGAAGAUACAAGGUCAAUUGCUGAAGCGCUACUUGUUUUCAAGACGUGGAAUACAGACUUCAACCCAACCUACGGGGUUACUGAUUUCUCAGAGUCCGAGAUAGCAGCAGUUAAAGAAAUAUUUCCAUUUUCAAAAGUGUACUUGUGUUAGUUUCACAGGGAACAGGCUUGGGGGCGAUGGGUUAAAAAGGGAGGGAAUCUAACUGUAGGAACUGAUAAGGAUUUCUGUUCUGGAGCUGUGGCACUAUGUUGCAGUGUCUCCAUCUGAGGAACAGUUCAAACUCAAUGUUGAAAUGUUAGAGACUCGUGGGGUUUUUCGUAGGAACCCCAAGACACUUAUUUAUUUUAAAAAUCAAUGGCUCUCAGUUGCUGAAAAGUGGGUGAGCUUUCGAGAAUAUUGGCAUAUUUGCCAAUAUUAGAACCACAAACGGUGCUGAAACAAUGAACAAGGUCAAAAAGUCUUUUCUGAACUAUGACACAGACAAAACAUUAACAGGAGUUGUUAAGGUAUUAGUAAAUAGUUUCAUUCCUGGCCUCAUGAAAAAGUAUUGCCAAAUGAAUUCUGUUAUUAGAAAGAACAAUGAAGUUGUACCUGCACUUUUGCAUGGAAAGACACAGGAAUUUAUAACACACGUUUUUUUUUAGAUUAGAUUUACUUUCAUUCCAAUUGAUCCGUAGUGAGGAGGUCCUCCAGGAUGUGGAACAUGUCAGAAAAACAAUAAUACAUGACAAAUAUUUACAACUAAAACAAAUAAGCUAAUGUACCAUUCCACAGGUCCCAAGUGCAAUGAUCGUCAUUUUUUAAUGAACACUAAGUCAUUUUACAAAUACUAAUGCACUGAAUUUAAAAUAAAAGUUUUUUAUUUAUUUAUAAGGUAAUAAACAUGUAAUACAA